UUCUCUUCAAAUCGUAUAAAUCUUUUGCCCUUUACUUAAGAUUUCCGUGUAGAGGA
rnacentral:snRNA from 1 species